GAUGAACGCUGGCGGCGUGCCUAAUACAUGCAAGUCGAGCGAACGGACGAGAAGCUUGCUUCUCUGAUGUUAGCGGCGGACGGGUGAGUAACACGUGGAUAGCCUACCUAUAAGACUGGGAUAACUUCGGGAAACCGGAGCUAAUACCGGAUGAUAUUUUGAACCGCAUGGUUCAAAAGUGAAAGACGGUCUUGCUGUCACUUAUAGAUGGAUCCGCGCUGCAUUAGCUAGUUGGUAAGGUAACGGCUUACCAAGGCAACGAUGCAUAGCCGACCUGAGAGGGUGGAUGGCCCCACUGGAAGUGGGACCCCGACCCAACACCCUAGGGGAGGCAGGGGAGGGAAUCCUUCGGCAAGGGGGGAAAGCUUGUGGGGGCAACGCGGCGGAAGGGAAAAAGUGCUCCGGAUGGUAAAACCUUUUUUUAGGGGAAAAACAAAUGUGUAAGUAACGGGGCGAUAUUGACGGGAACCGAAGAAGAAACCCCGGCUAAACUAGUG
rnacentral:rRNA from 1 species